UACAGAGGUCCCAAGCGUUGUUCGGAUUCACUGGGCGUAAAGGGUGCGUAGGUGGCCAGGUAAGUUUGGUGUGAAAGCCCGGGGCUUAACUCCGGGUCUGCGGUGGAUACGGGCAGACUAGAGGCAGGUAGGGGAGAACGGAAUUCCCGGUGUAGCGGUGAAAUGCGCAGAUAUCGGGAGGAACACCCGUGGCGAAGGCGGCCGGCUGGGCCGAUCCUGACGCUGAGGCGCGAAGGCGUGGGGAGCGAACGGG
rnacentral:rRNA from 1 species